GACGAACGCUGGCGGCGCGCCUAACACAUGCGAGUCGAACGAGCGAGAGAGAGCUUGCUUUCUCAAGCGAGUGGCGAACGGGUGAGUAACGCGUGAGGAACCUGCCUCAAAGAGGGGGACAACAGUUGGAAACGACUGCUAAUACCGCAUAAGCCCACGACCCGGCAUCGGGUAGAGGGAAAAGGAGCAAUCCGCUUUGAGAUGGCCUCGCGUCCGAUUAGCUAGUUGGUGAGGUAACGGCCCACCAAGGCGACGAUCGGUAGCCGGACUGAGAGGUUGAACGGCCACAUUGGGACUGAGACACGGCCCAGACUCCUACGGGAGGCAGCAGUGGGGAAUAUUGCACAAUGGGGGAAACCCUGAUGCAGCGACGCCGCGUGGAGGAAGAAGGUCUUCGGAUUGUAAACUCCUGUUGUUGAGGAAGAUAAUGACGGUACUCAACAAGGAAGUGACGGCUAACUACGUG
rnacentral:rRNA from 1 species